CAACUCUACCUCACGGAGGGGAUCAGUAGAAAAGUCAACAGAGCCUGUGUUUCGCUUAUCAAGAGAACCUCUCGACAAGGAAAUGAGGAAGGACAAAACUAUACACAUAAUCUGGACUUUCCCUGACUGUUACAGAAUAACACGGCAUUGAUAUUUAUCAAGAGGAAGAAAGAUCAACUUAGAAAAAAUUGAAAAGUAUCAGACUCCAUUAUUACUGCAUUCUCUGCCUGUCUUUCCCUUUGGAUUUAAGCUAUUUGCAUAUAAAGAAGAGCUUCAGAACAUCGGUAGAAGACUGGGCAGACAUCAUCCAUCGGUGACACACGAGUAUGCCCACAUAAAGCAAGGCGGUAUAGAUUUUCUCUAUAAAAUAUCCACGUUUUAAGUAACUAGUUACUGAAGAUGACAUUAAAAUCCAUUAAACCGUUAAAAAUUGUAUUCAUGUGCAAUUAUAGUGUGAAUAAACAUAUUGAUUGCUGUGGAAUUCCAUCUAAAGCUGAGCUUUGUCAACAUUGUAGCUAUAAUCCAUUGAACCUGGGACACAGUUCAUUAGCCAUAUUUCUCUGAUAUAAUUGUCAAAUUAUUUAAUAUGUAUGUUUUCUAUUAUCUAGCCUCUGAAUCUUCUUUAAUGGUGUCAAGUAAUCAAAAUGAAUUCAUUUAUAUUUUACGAA